rnacentral:lncRNA from 1 species
AGACAAAUUACCGCGGACCUGAGAGGACCCGUCCACGCCGGCCCAGAGGGAGGAGGGGGACGGUACACAGAUGGGGGGGCGGGGGACAUGACUCUCUGAGGGAUCCCCAACCCCAGGAUUGAGGCCCCACCCUCUGCCCUAACUGGAGUUGAAGACCUUAGUGGGGGUGGGGCCUAUCCCUCGCAGGUGGAAGGGUGAUCUGCACCGGGAGAGCUGUGACUGUCCCGGUUCCGCGAUCCCUGGCUCUGGGCUCAGGAGGAUGACGGGAGGGGCCCCAGCACUCCGAGAGCUGGGCGAGUUCAGGUGGCCAGGCCCUCUCCCUCACCAAGGCCUCUGGGGGAGCUGCUGGGCUCCUUGGUUCUGCCAGCCUGAGCGCCAGAAUCCAAUCCUGCUCUAUAAUAAUCAUCAGAGCAGCCGGCAGCACUUACUGAGCUCCGAGGGACUGCCAGGCCCGGGUGCCAAGUGCAUAACACGCAUUAUCCCGCUUAAUAGUCACAGAAGUCCCGUUGUGAUCCCCUUAGGAAGGUGAGAGGGUUGAGGCGAGGGGCGUGGCUUGUCAGGGGCGUGGCUUGCCUGGGGCGUGGCCUGCCAGAGGACGGGCAGCCGGCAGGGUGGAGGGACAGGUGGGAGUCACGCCAGCUCCAACCAGGUCUAGAACCCAAACCUUCAACCCCUGAGCUUUCCUGCCUUCGAGUCCUCGGAGCUCUCCUGGAGGCUGAGCAGGCAACAGAGCCUGCUCCUCAGCUGGAUGUGGCCCGUGGGAGGUCUCUCAUCUGGGAAGUGGGAUGAUAGCGCCAACCUAGCUGGAUUGCUGUGACUGCCAGCACAAUGCCUUCUAAGGGUUCAAGGCUGCCUUUCAGUGACAGGCUGCUGAGGACACCCUAGGCCAGGAGCCACCCCACCUGGCCCACCGAGGCUCUGGACCCUCCCAGGGCUAUUGCUUCUCUGGAGUUGGGUGAUGAACAGAGGGUUGGACCCCCCAAGCCCUGCAUGGGGGUAGAGGCCCUCCCUGAGAAGGACCUCCAGAGCCCAGCUCUGCUCUCCCAGGGUGUGGUUCCAUGGGAGGUGGGCUCCACUGGUCCUAAGCUCUGGGCAGGUUGGCAUCCCCAGAGGGCAAUGCUGACAACACCUCCCUUGGCACCCCCAAGGGUUCGUUUCUCAGCAGCAACUUCCAAAGGCUGUUCCCCCAGGUCUCUGUCCCUUUCCUGAGCCCUCCCCUGUCCUUCUCCAGGCAACCCACAGCCCCAGCAGCCUGUGCACAUUUAGCGCUGGAUCCCUGAUCCCUUGGGCUUGGCCUCACUCCUCUCUGGCUCCAUGCCCCCAGAUCUCUUUGGCAUGACCAACAACUGGCUGGCGAGCCCAGAGAUGGGGGAAGAAGGGCCCUGAGCCAUGAGUGCACCUCACUGCAUGGCCCUGGUCAGGUCCCUCUGCCUCCCGGGGCCUCACUGUGUCCACAGCCUCCUGCACGCCACGAAGCACCUCCCCGAUGUGCCAGCUCCCCCAGCACCAGCCUCAUCCCAAGGAAGGAGGAGGCGACUCCCACUACUCAAGGGGCUGUUCCCCAUGGCACCCCUCAGGCCGCUGCAGGAGACUAUAAGCCCCUCACAACCGAGGCCAUUUUCCCCACUCCCUUCCCCGCAAGCCCUAAAUGGCCCAGCAACAACUCUGAACUCUGAUCUCGGUCAGCCCAGCACGGGUGGGGCAGGAGGUUCUGUCAACAGCGAGAGAAACUCGUUAACUGAAUGUCAAUAGGAUUAAAGGCUCUGAUGGUCCAGGAGAAAAAUGUGACGUGACACAUCAUGACAGAUGCGUGGAAGGGCUCCCGGGGGGUGGGGUCCCGUGUGUGUGUGUGUGUGUGCGUGUGUGUGUGUGAGAGAGAGAGAGGGGGAAGGGAAGCAAAUACAUAGUAG